AGUGAACGCUGGCGGCGUGCUUAACACAUGCAAGUCGAACGAGAACGGAAUAUAGCUUGCUAUAUUUGUCAGCUAAGUGGCGCACGGGUGAGUAAUGUAUAGAUAACCUGCCCUUAAGAAAGGAAUAACAGUUGGAAACGGCUGCUAACGCCCUAUAUGCCUUUAAUACAUAAGUAUGCAAGGGAAACGCUUUAGUGCUUAAGGAUGGGUCUGUAUGGUAUCAGCUUGUUGGUGAGGUAAUGGCUCACCAAGGCUAUGACGCCUAACUGGUUUGAGAGGAUGAUCAGUCGCACUGGAACUGAGACACGGUCCAGACUCCUACGGGAGGCAGCAGUGGGGAAUAUUGCACAAUGGACGAAAGUCUGAUGCAGCAACGCCGCGUGGAGGAUGACACAUUUCGGUGCGUAAACUCCUUUUAUAUAGGAAGAUAAUGACGGUACUAUAUGAAUAAGCACCGGCUAACUCCGUGCCAGCCGCCGCGGUAA
rnacentral:rRNA from 1 species